CGCGGAAUGGCACUGGGAGGGUGCGGGACCACAAAUCUGAUCUGAGCAAGUUAGCGGCUGCAUGUGCCGCAGAAAAAAGGACUGUGCGGUUCACUGACAUGGCAAAGGACAGAAAUAGGAAAAACCUCUGCGGCUCACGAGGAAGCCAGACACGGUUUAAGAACAAGGCCGCACAUACUUUCGAGGUUUGCAACAAACAGUUUUCAGUUCGUGCUGUGAACAGGUAUGCGAUGCACUACUGAGUGCUAAGUUUGCCAAAAACGACUGGCUUUGAACGUGUUGCUAGAUCGAAUAACACCAACUUCUGUGGUUUUUCACUGACAAGAACCAUAGGCGCACAAGGUUUGGUAAGUGCGAUGUACGUAUUCGCAUGGUUUGAUGAGUUAAGAUCCUCUGAAACCACCCGAGAGCUAGAGAAUCAAGGCUGGAUUCUCUAGCUCUUUUUCUAGCCACCCGAAUAAUUGUAACUUUCUUCCUUGUAUCCCACUUUCUAUUGAAUCAAGGUGGGUCUCAGUCUGCGGCCAGUCUAGAGGCUCUUCUUUUAGUUUCUCAGACUGAAGUGCUGCAUCAAAGGUAGCACAAGCAGCAUCUGCAUUUCCCUGCUCACAAUUUCACGCACAUUCAGCCACCGCAAAUCCAAAUCUUAGCAAAUUCGGGAAAGCAUAACACGUUAAUGUAAGUCUACAUUAAAUUCUUAAAUGUGAAAAAUUACAGAGAAGGCAAGUGUUUGUUACCUGACGGUGCUCAAAGUUAGCUUGUUUGAGAAUAACGUCCAGGAGUCCUAGAACCAACUCAUUUCUUAGGAUUUCGAAUGCUACUCGAGCAUCUUCCACAUAACCAUGCUGCUCAUAGAACUUUGUUGCAAAAAGGUGAAUUCUUGUUUUGUAAGUUCUUAGAGUUUUCCAUGAUGAUGUUUAAUGAAGGUUGCAUCGGACCUUCUGCUUUAAAAGUAAAAUCUUGGGGUGCAUUUGUUCGAGUCUAUCUGUCGGCUUGGGUCAUUUUUGUAAUGCUAUCAAGAGGCCCGAGCUACUGUUGGAGGCUGACGGUGGUGUUCUAAAUUUCCCACAGUAGGUUUUCUUCAACGCUGUUUUCUGCAUGGAUUACUCAUGUUGUGGAGUGCAUCUGUUGAGAAGAUGAGGAGAAUACCAUUUAUUGGUGCUCAAUGGACACAAUAGUUAAGUUACGCUCCAAGUCUGCUCGCAAUAUUGGCUUAGAUGUUGUAAGUUUGCCAUCCCACACCUCCCAUUGCAGUCUUUGAAUGUAUCGAUUCACACCUCCCAUUGUAGUCUUUGAAUGUAUCGAUUAUUAAAACUUUCAAGCAAUUCUUCAAUCAAUAUAGAGAUUAUUGGCUACUACAAAGGAUGUGUUGGCACAAUGGAUCUUCUUGCAUUACGAAAGGCACUAAGUCCAUCAAAUAUUCAAAGUGGUUUUUUUGUUAUGGGAAUUUAUCCAUUAGACAAGGAGGUCGUAAAGAAGCACAUGGGAUUAUUUAAGAUCUAUAAGAAUGCUUCUACGGACACUUCUUUUGAAGAUGGUGGCACUUUGGAGCAAGUGUAGGGAAGCAAUGCCAUUGACUCACAAGCCAUGCUGGAAGAAGAGCAAAUGGAGUAAGAUAGAGGUAGGAAAGAUGUGGAUUCUUUUUAUGUAAGAGUCUCUAUAGCCAUAGGGUAGUUUAAAGUUCAGGGUAGACAUGCUGAGAGGUAGAGUGCCUCAACAAUACAUGUUGUAGAAACCUUACUAUUUAAUCAAGUAGCACCACUAUUAUUAGCCAUUGGAUUGCAACUGAUGCUUCUUCCUUUAAAUGGAUUUUUCUCUUGUCAUACACAAGAGCAUUGAAUGAAUACAAAUCUUUAACAUCAA